rnacentral:rRNA from 1 species
AAUGAACGCUGGCGGCAUGCCUAACACAUGCAAGUCGAACGGCAGCACCGUCCAUUUUUGCUCUUACCGGUUGCGAGUCGCGUGCGUGAGAAGUGUAUAUCCGCCUCUACUUUUUCGUGGGACAUCACGUAGGGAGUCUUACUCUCAUACCGUAUACGCUGUUCGGGUGAGCGGGGGGGAUCUUCGCCCCUUGCGCGAAUGGAUGCGCAGAUGUCGGAUUAGCUAGUUGGCGGGGUAAUGGCCCACCAAGGCGACGAUCCGUAGCUGGUCUGAGAGGAUGAUCGGCCACACUGGAGCUGAGACACGGUCCAGACUCCUACGGGAGGCAGCAGUGGGGAAUAUUGGACAAUGGGCGCAAGCCUGAUCCAGCGAUACCGCGUGGGUGAAGAAGGCCUUCGGGUUGUAAAGCCCUUUUGUGGGGAAAGAAAAGCAUCAGGCUAAUACCACGCGUGUCUGACGGUACCCAAAAAAGAAGCACCGGCUAACUACGUG